AAAAAAAAUCUCGUUGCCGUUGUCAUGUGGAUGUAGCCUGAGUUUCUGGAGCAUCACAUUUGUGGCAGCGCUCGAAACUAACGGUGUCCCGACGUCCCGGGGACCAUAAAAGAUGUUGUCGGGACACAAAAUCAUCAUAUCUGGGACAAUCCCGGGACAAUGGAAAAAAAUAGAUCUAGGAAAAAAAAGUUCUACAUUAAUAUUAUUUACAAAGCCGUAACACAUACGUAGACAUUCACCUAAUUUGUCAAUUUUAAUUUUAAAACGUUAACAGCGAAAAAUACAUAGUAGCUACACUUUCGAUGCACCUGCAUCCGUAGGCUACAGAGCAGCGCAUUCUGUUCUAGAAUCUUCGGCCGGAGUCCGCAUUAUAUGGACUUGGAAUUGCUACUGCACACGCUGCGCCGACUCUUGCCAGAACAAAAAUGCUUAAGUAGUUGAAGCGGACCGACCGCGGGGAAGAAACCGAAAGCCCAGACAUAACGUCUCCGGGACCUUCAGGAUCCACAGUGUCAUCGCCUGGUCUGCAGGCAACGCGAGCAACUGAAUGAACUUAAUGAACACUGUUAGACACGUUAUAAAAUACAACAGGAAUGAUGUGGAUGAUACUGACGGAAGAUACCGUUCAACAGAAUAAGUGAGUUUUCUUGGUGUCUUUCUAGUUCAGAAAGUUUAGUCAGUCAGCAGCACAACUAGGCUCGGACCUGCCACUAUGCUGAUGUUGCUAACAUUUGCACCCACGUUUCGGCAGCGAAAGUUCAUAAAAUGGAUAACGGAAAGUUCAUAAAAUGGAUAACGGAAAGUUCAUAAAAAUGGAUAAUGGAAAGUUCAUAAAAUGGAUAACGGAAAGUUCAUAAAAUGGAUAACGGAAAGUUCAUAAAAAUGGAUAACGGUAAUGGUGAAAAUUAUAAGUUGGCCUUAUAAGUGCCAACAGAUAUUCAAGGUAUAAGUAGAUGAAAUGAACAUAAAAGGGGUCUUAUUUUCAACUAAAGUGUACUGCAGAUGUAGUGAGUUGAAACAUUUUCUGAAUGAGCUAGUUGGCCCCUUUAAAUAAACGGGUAUCUAUUCAUACAGUGAGAUCGCCAAAGUUUAAUAAACUGAAAAUGCAAUAACUGUAAUUUUGAAGUAGAUGAUGUAUUGGACAUGUGUCGCUUGUGUCUUGUGACUUAUUGUAAAAAUGAUAUAAAGGGUUCAAAAUCGCAUAGUUACAAAUAUAAUAGUAACUUCAUAUGAUAAUAUUAACCACUGGUUAUUUCAGAGAGGAAAAAAAUGGGGACACUAUUGCUUCCAUUCGGGACAAUACAACACAGAAUUCGGGACCACUGGGGGACACAAAGAAAAAAGUUAAUUUCGAGCCCUGAUUUGUGGGGUCGAUUAAAUGCUCAAAAUGGCCAGAAAAAUCUUUCUAUUCAUUUUACAACUUAUGGUGGUAAAUAAAAGUGUGACUUUUCAUGGAAAACACAAAAUUGUCUGGGUGACACCAAACUUUUGAACGGUAGUGUAUGACCUUUUAUCUGUAGGCAUUGCACUAAAGAGAGUGAAAUGUUUGCUUGUUUAAAUAUGUUGAGAAAAGUCUAUAAUUUCCAUAGGAUGUACUUAUUUUUUUUCAUAUGGCUAUAUUUAUUGUGCAGGCACAUUUUAAAAUGAACAUGGGUGUACCCUAAUUAACAAGUUUAAACAACUUGACAUUGUUCAACGUAAAAUAGAGACAAAAAACGGCACUUAUACUGUAGUAACAAGCCGGGUGCUUAGACAUAGGGAGGAUGCAAUCCAGGUCCUAGACUGGAAUGUUUUUGCGAACAUUCCUGACUAAGAGUUUUUAUUCCAAAAGGUUAAAAAAAAAAAGUCUAGUCAAAGUUUAAAAUGGAGCCUCAAAUGCGUUCAAAGGUGGCAUAGCAGAGGACAUCUGUUACAUAUAGUAAAUAAAUGUUCCCUAAUCUAUUUACGUUUUGUUUUAACGGACUGAGCUUUACUCAGAAGAAAGCAGUCAUUUUUUUUAUUUAGACGAAGCGCUAGCAGUGAGUCCGGAUUUGCAGUGUGGAUUAUGACGCCAUUCUGUCUGCCUGUAAGACCUGAUAUAUGAGAGUACGCAGGAAGUUCCAGUACAGCCAGCUGGACCUUGCAGCUCAAGUGGCAGCAUGAAGGGUUCAGCCUGGAGUCGACAGAGAAGGACGAGGCUGCUGGAGGUGAGGCAGAGUGAUGAAAUGGACUUCUGGAGGGGCAUUAUGACUGAUAUGAUGUUUUUGCAUUUGCUGUUUCUGCCAUGUAUCAAUAAAGCUCUUACUUUUAGUCAACA